rnacentral:rRNA from 1 species
UGGGGGAUAUUGCACAAUGGGGGAAACCCUGAUGCAGCGACGCCGCGUGAGUGAAGAAGUAUUUCGGUAUGUAAAGCUCUAUCAGCAGGGAAGAAGAAGGACGGUACCUGAGUAAGAAGCCCCGGCUAACUACGUGCCAGCAGCCGCGGUAAUACGUAGGGGGCAAGCGUUAUCCGGAUUUACUGGGUGUAAAGGGAGCGUAGACGGCGAAGAAAGUCUGAAGUGAAAGCCCGCGGCUCAACCGCGGAAUGGCUUUGGAAACUUUUUUGCUGGAGUACCGGAGAGGUAAGCGGAAUUCCUAGUGUAGCGGUGAAAUGCGUAGAUAUUAGGAGGAACACCAGUGGCGAAGGCGGCUUACUGGACGGUAACUGACGUUGAGGCUCGAAAGCGUGGGGAGCAAACAGG